ensembl:lncRNA
GGCCGGCCCGGGUGGGGGCGGGGCGCCGGAGGAUUUUACAGUAUCUUCGUUUUCGUGGGCGGGGACCCUCCCUCCUCCAGUCUCCUUGGGAGAGGUUUAACCGUGUGAGGACUGGAGUUCUCCAGGCUGCCGCCGCUUCUCCGCCGGGCUGGCGCGGGCGGCACGCCUCGGGGCAGUCACGACGCCUGAGGAAAAGCCUCCCUGCCGCGGGCCGGUGCUGCUGCUAAGGGGCCCCUCUACCACCGCGUCCCUCGGAGCCCGGACCACUUGACCGGCGUUCCUCCCUUCCGCUCACCUCCCUGAGACGACUGAGAUGUGCCCUUGGUUAGAAAGAAGAGAAUCUGUUUGAAUGAUAAGAUGAUAUUAUAUGUGAUAAUAAUAUGAUCCCUGGCAUAAUGGGACUAGCAAACCAGUUAAAGAAAUAAGAGAUAUGAAGGCAUUAAUGUUCCUGUUGCCAGUGGUAAAGAGGACAUGCCAAAACCACUUUCUGCAUGUGCCGGAACCAUCUGUGGCACACGCCAGAACCACCCGCCAGACAUGUGUGACCCACCUGCCUGACACACUGGAACCAACUGUUGGACAAGUCGGAACUAUCAUCUGGACACUCUGGAACUACCCACCGCAGACGCGAGGACACUGGUAGUCCAUGGCAAAGAGUUACUUAAAUUAUCCCUUAGAAAGCUAUGCUUUGGAUGAGCAAGAAAUUGCUGUCAUAGAACAUUUAGUGAAUAUAAGAGUAUAAAGAGGUUGGGUGAUUGCUUCUAAGUGUGCUGGAGAACUUGGAGAAAGAAAAUGAAUUCAAAAUUUUAAAUUCCUGGCUUGAGGUCCAGAUAAGGGACCAGAAAAUUUCUACUUCUUCCCUAAAAGAAACAUGUGUUUCAGGUAGUCACAAGGGAAAGGUUUCUGAAAACUAGGAUGACCAACUUAUCCUGGUCUGCCUGGGACUUUCCCUGUCUUAGUUCUGAAAGUUUCGUCUCCUGGGAAACCCCUCAGUCGUGGCCAAACCAGGAUGGACAGUUAGUCAACCUACAAAACCAAAACCUAAGUUAAAUCCUGCAAGUGGCUAAAUUACAGUGUAGAUUGUAUUCCCAUCCUUAUAGGUCUCUUAAAGUUAAGGCAUUCUUUGGGAAGCAGUGGGACCGUGAAAAUUGAGAGAUUCCAAAGAAGAUGAAGAUUUUAAACCCCUAAAUUCUGUUGAGCUUCCUUUGCCAGGAGGAACAGUCCCUUUCCCCUACCUGAGGAGAUUAAUCUUCCUUUCCUGAGGAAGUUGCUUUGCAAAGGCCUGCACAUUUUUCUCAGAACCUAUAACCAGUGCUUCUCACUGCUUCUGGAUUUAUAUCCAGACUCAAGUCCCAGCAGGCCUUAGGAAAAACUGUUACCCAUGGCAUAAUACACACACAAAAAAUGCAAGUAUUUGCCAAUUUAUAUUGACACAAACAUAGGCAGCAUAAAUAAGAAUGGAUCAUAAGGGUGCUGGAUCAAGUUGGAAGUGAUAUAAUGUUGUGGACAUAACAUGUUGGGAUCCCAGUAUUAUGCAAGCAUCUUCAAUUAGAUCUCACAUAUUAAGUGUCAGGCUUUAUCUGCUGAACAGAACAGGUAGUAGAAGCUCAACUAUCCAGGAUUUGCCGAGUGAAAUCUCACUUUGGCCCUCCUGUACCUCCUAGAGUUCCAUGUUUCAUUCCAUUUUAGGACCUCAUAUAUUUCUCAAGUUUGUGCCAGCUCUCCAUCAUAUGUAUAUUCAUAUAUAUGAAAGCAAUUUAUUCUUUCAGUUGGAAGAAUGUGAUAGGUUGCAAUAUGACCCAAAUUCUUCCCAUCCCUAUAUGCCAAAACCUUGUGUAUGACUGCUGCUCCUCCUAUUUCUCCACAAUUUGAAUAUAGGGUUGGCCGUAUGAUUAGCUUUAUCAAAUGGUAUAUUAGCAAAGGUAAUACAAGCAGAGACUUUGCAAGUACUGGUAUAUUGGAGCUUGGCCUCUCUUGCUGCUG